CGCGCCCUACGGGACGCAGCAGUGAGGAAUAUUGGUCAAUGGGCGCGAGCCUGAACCAGCCACGCAGCGUGAAGGAUGACUGCUCUACGGGUUGUAAACUUCUUUUAUAAAGGAAUAAAGUGAGGCACGUGUGCCUUUUUGUAUGUACUUUAUGAAUCAGGAUCGGCUAACUCCGUGCCAGCAGCCGCGGUAAUACGGAGGAUCCGAGCGUUAUCCGGAUUUAUUGGGUUGAAAGGGAGCGUAGAUGGGUUGUUAAGUCAGUUGUGAAAGUUUGCGGCUCAAC
rnacentral:rRNA from 1 species